rnacentral:rRNA from 1 species
CAGAGGGCGCGAGCGUUGUCCGGAAUCACUGGGCGUAAAGGGCGCGUAGGUGGCCACUAUAAGGCCGCGGUGAAAGUUCGGGGCUCAACCCUGAAUCGGCCGCGGCGACUGUAGGGCUUGGGCACUGUAGAGGCAGAUGGAAUUCCGGGUGUAGCGGCGGAAUGCGUAGAGAUCCGGAAGAACACCGGUGGCGAAGGCGGUCUGCUGGGCAGUGGACCCGUGAGGGUCCAAUAGCCGACACUGAGGCGCGACAGCGUGGGGAGCAAACAGGAUUAGGUACCCUGGUAGUCCACGCCGUAAACGAUGGGCACUAGGUGCUCCGGGGAGCGACCCUUGGAGUACCGGCGCUAACGCAUGAAGUGCCCCGCCUGGGGAGUACGGCCGCAAGGCUG